rnacentral:misc_RNA from 1 species
GAGGAAGAACGCAGCGAAAUGCGAUAAGUAGUGUGAAUUGCAGAAUUCAGUGAAUCAUCGAAUCUUUGAACGCACAUUGCGCCCCUUGGUAUUCCAUGGGGCAUGCCUGUUCGAGCGUCAUUUGUACCUUCAAGCUCUGCUUGGUGUUGGGUGAUUGUCUAUCUUUGUAGACUCGCCUUAAAGUCAUUGGCAGCCGGCAUAUUGGCCUGGGAGCGCAGCACAAGUCGCGCUUCUUGUCAUGAAUGUUGGCGUCCAGUAAGUCUACAUAUUUUGCUCUUGACCUCGGAUCAGGUAGGGAUACCCGCUGAACUUAAGCAUAUCAAUAAGCGGAGGA